rnacentral:rRNA from 1 species
AUUGAACGCUGGCGGCAGGCUUAACACAUGCAAGUCGAGCGGAGAGAGGUAGCUUGCUACCGAUCUUAGCGGCGGACGGGUGAGUAAUGCUUAGGAAUCUGCCUAUUAGUGGGGGACAACAUUUCGAAAGGAAUGCUAAUACCGCAUACGUCCUACGGGAGAAAGCAGGGGAUCUUCGGACCUUGCGCUAAUAGAUGAGCCUAAGUCGGAUUAGCUAGUUGGUGGGGUAAAGGCCUACCAAGGCGACGAUCUGUAGCGGGUCUGAGAGGAUGGUCCGCCACACUGGGACUGAGACACGGCCCAGACUCCUACGGGAGGCAGCAGUGGGGAAUAUUGGACAAGGGGCGCAAGCCUGAUCCAGCCAUGCCGCGUGUGUGAAGGAGGCCUUAUGGUUGUAAAGCACUUUAAGCGAGGAGGAGGCUACUUUAGUUAAUACCUAGAGAUAGUGGACGUUACUCGCAGAAUAAGCACCGGCUAACUCUGUGCCAGCCGCCGCGGUAAAAC